rnacentral:lncRNA from 1 species
CCAUUUCUACUGGAAAGCAUCGGAACAGAGUCGUCUCAUUUCAUCAAAACAAGCAUCGAACAACAAACAAAGAGCUAAACAAUAAUCAAAUAAACCGAAUCUAGAGAUUCAGUCAUACAAGUAUAUACGCAUGCAUGUAUGUAUAGACGGCGAAAUUAGAGAGAUAAAGUACAAGUGCGGCACAGAAUCAAAAGAUUCCCAUUCGUCUUCAAAUGGAGAAGAAGCGUUAU